AUGGGGGCUAUUCUCAGGGAUGACAAAGGAAAUUUCAUCGUUUGCGGAAAUUGGAAGAUAGAAUGGUGCGCGGAUGUUCUAACAGCAGAAGCGUUGGCGCUGAGGUUUGGAUUAUUGCUGGCACAAACGGCGGGCUGCAAUCGUCUUGUAAUUAAUUCUGACAACAUGGAAGCCAUUGACACAAUGAACAACAGAGGACAUUCUGCAGGAGCAGCGGCGGUAGUUUUUUAUGAUUGUUAUUUUUUGACUUGUGAUUUUCCUCUUAGUAGAUUUGAACAUUGUAAUAGGGAAGCCAAUAAAGUAGCUCAUGAACUCGCUAGAUUAGCGAAAAGUUCGUUGACAAAGGAUCGGUUCCAGGAGCCAAUGGAAAAUAUUGUACCCCUUCUUAUAGACGAUGUAACCGUUGUUUCUAAUUAA
rnacentral:rRNA from 1 species